rnacentral:SRP_RNA from 1 species
GACGAGUCUCCCCGCAUAGUAAAUUCGUGAAUCUGGUCAGGUCGGGAACGAAGCAGCCAUAGCGGAAAAUACUAGUGACGGGUAAAGGCUCGUCAAA